CCCCCGACUCCCCGGGAAGAGCGGGGUGGGGGAGCCCGGCGCUGGGCAGGCUGGCGGCGAGGGAUUCUGAGAGUCCCCAGCCCCCAUGCCUUCCCCAGAAGUUCGAAAUUCCACCUCUUCCUCUGAGCCAAGAAUACAAAUGUCCCUCCCUGGAAGCUUACUAAGAUCACCGAUUGACAUUUUGUAGUGCAUUUUGUGUAUGUAGCAUCUUGAUCUUUACAAAGAUCCUUUUUUU